ACAGCUUAAAAGAUUAUUUUUUUUUUUUUCACCACCAAAUAAUACCUAGUUGGUCAAGUAAACAUCGAGAAAAAUAAUUACUUAUAUAAACGUUCGUGUAAACAUAUUUUCAAACUAUUUUGUCCAAAUAAAAUAACAAAUUUGACGAAAAAGUAAACACGAACAAUUUUCUACUAAUUAAUUUUAACGAAAAAACAAAAAAUACAUCAACAUUGUGGGAUCGAAAGUACCGCGUCAUUAGCCUUUAUUCAAUUUGGUGUCAACAAGAACUUUCCGCUUUCUUUUUUUUAUUAUAAUUAUUAUUUUUCUUAGUUAAAAACCACCCAACAAUCAACCUCAGCAGUGAACAAUCAAAAGCUUAACUUAUAAUAGCACACAAAACGUCCAAAAAAGUUCUUCCUUUUGUUUGGGUCCUCUGAUGCGCUUCACAAAAAGCUGACAAAAGGUCCUUCACUUUUUCCGCCUCUUUUCUGCCUUCUUCCUGCACUCCUACUUCAUUGAAAUUUUGAGCAGAAAUUGAAUUUUCCCUGUGCCUCUGAGAGACACAGACGAGACGACACGACGAAAAGGCUUAACCCGGGCCAUGUUCGUCAUCCAUCGUCAUCGUCAACUACUAACGAUAAAACUUCCCGUUAUUUGUCUAUAAUUUUUUUUUUCUUUUUUGUAUCCUUCAGCCUUCUUUGUUGGGUUGCAUGCAACAACAUCAAACUCUAUUAAAAUUAAAUCCGACCUUAAGGUACAUUUUAACCCAUACAAAGUAAUUUUAAAUUAAUUUACAUAAUCAUAUCUUCACAUGGAUACACCCACCUCUCACCCCCUCACAACAUUCUAGUGUAUUCGUUGCACACAGAUAAAUUAUUAUUACAAUGUCUAUGAUGAUGAAGGGAAAGAAGAGUAAAGAUGCUGAUGAUGAUGUUGGUUGAAAAGGAUAAUACAAAAGUUUAUAUAGACAGUUCCACUUCACGGAUGUGUCAUGGAAGAACGGAAACGAAGCGAGAGAAAGCAAACUAAAGAGAGAAAAGGUAUAAUAUAGAGUGAAUCCUUAGUCGCGUGAAUGGAUUUUCGAGAGGACAUACUUGUGUUGGCUGAACGUGAUCUGAUUUAUUAUGAAUUAACAUAUAAUACAGCACGUGGUUAAAUGACUGGCCUGAAGAUAUUUGAUUACAAAAAAAAUAUACCUAUGAAAAUAAAAUAAUUUAAUCAAUUUCAAACCAGACACGCUACUGAAAUUACUGUCUGAGAAUAUUAAGGGCUUCGAAUUACAGUCUGAGAUUGUAGACUUUACUUAAAUUUAGUCUAAGGUAAAAUUCUUCAUAAAGUUAAAGUCUGAUAGAGCUAAAUCCUCAAAAGAUCAUCUGGUCAGUCUCUGAGAGUUUUCGAAAAUAAAGGGGCUCCAAACUUUUGAUAUUUCUUGGGACUCAAUUAUAUAACGGGUCCCACGACAAUUGUUCGGCUACCCAACAUUAAUUGAGGAAGCUGGUUUCUCAAAACUUGUAGAUUACACUGGUCGGCAAUGAAAAUGGAGCUAGAACAAAACCAUACUUUUCUAAAGGAUUUUUGUGUGCUGAGUCCAAAUCCGAAGUCAAAAUUUUACUGUCAAAAACGUGUUUUAUGGGUACAUUUGACGUCAAAUUACACCACCGUAAAACAUUUUUUCUCCAAAUCUUCGUAUGUAAUCUUAAAACGCAAUAUUUUAUCGUUUUAAAUAUAUUUAAUUUUUU